GGGGGGGGGGGGGGGGGGGGUUGGCACAUGGAGGUCGAGCGAGGCACUUUAUUUGGUUUCCUUCGGGACUGUUUGUUUUGUGACUGAGUGGGGGACGGGUGAGUAACGCGUGGGUAACCUGCCUUGUACAGGGGGGUAACAGUUGGAAACGGCUGCUAAUCCCGCAUCAGCGCACAGCAUCUCCUGAUGCAGAGUGCAAAACUCCGAUGGUAUAAGACGGACCCGCGUUGGAUUAUCUAGUUGGUGAGGUCACGGCCCACCAAGGCGACGAUCCAUAGCCGACCUGAGAGGGUGACCGGCCACAGUGGGACUGAGACACGGCCCAAACUCCUACGGGAGGCAGCAGUGGGGAAUAUUGCACAAUGGGCGAAAGCCUUAUGCAGCGACGCCGCGUGAGCGAAGAAGUAUUUCGGUAUGUAAAGCUCUAUCAGCAGGGAAGAUAAUGACGGUACCUGACUAAGAAGCACCGGCUAAAUACGUG
rnacentral:rRNA from 1 species